rnacentral:lncRNA from 1 species
GACGCAACCCCAGUGUCAAACCAGGGGGUAAGUCAAGGUAUCCGGCUCAGGCCGCCGGGCAGCUGAGGGGGCCCAGUGGGGGUCUCGUCUGUGGCCCAGAGACGUGGCGGAAGAAGGCAGUACAUCUCCCUUCUUAGAGAGAGAGUGGAAGCUUCUGAGUGUGGCUUGGGUCGUUCUGAACCAUGGUGACGUUUCCACCCUGCCACUGCCUGUCUUCCAGUUUGACUUGCUGGAAAUGGACCGGCUGGAGAGGCCACUGGUUGACCUGCCGCUCCUCCUGGACCCGCCCUCCUACGUGCCCGACACGGUGGACCUCACCGAUGACGCUCUGGCCCGAAAAUACUGGCUCACCUGCUUUGAGGAGGCCCUGGACGGGGUAGUGAAGCGCGCAGUGGCGAGCCAGCCAGACUCUGUGGAUGCAGCCGAGAGG